AUACUCUGGUUUCUCUUCAGAUCGUAUAAAUCUUUCGCCUUUUACUAAAGAUUUCCGUGGAGAGGAACAACUCUGAGUUUUGUGCAAUUUUUUGAGGCCUUGCCUUAUAGCAAGGCU
ensembl:snRNA U5 U5 spliceosomal RNA